UACGGAGGGUGCAAGCAUUGAUCGGAAUUACUGGGCGUAAAGGGCGCGUAGGCGGUUAAAUAAGUCAGAUGUGAAAUUCCGGGGCUCAACCCCGGAGCUGCAUUUGAAACUGUAUAGCUAGAGUUCAGUUGAGGUAAACGGAAUUCCACGUGUAGCGGUGAAAUGCGUAGAUAUGUGGAGGAACACCGGUGGUGAAGACGGUUUACUGGACUGAUACUGACGCUGAGGCGCGAAAGCGUGGGGAGCAAACAGG
rnacentral:rRNA from 1 species